AGAGAGAGAGAGGCGGUGGCGGAGACACGGCGGUGGCCUUCUUCCUCAACUCGCUAGGGUUCCGGCACUGUGUUCAGAUCCCCCCGGCACUGUCUUCAGAUCACCCACUGUGUUCAGAUCCUCAACUCGCUAGGGUUCCGGCAAACUGAAGCAGUCCUGGAAACUCAGAAGAAUGCGAAGAUUGAGGGAGUGGAAGACAACCCUAAUGACAAGACCCAAGAGUUACUUUUGUGUGGAAGAUGAGGUCUUGAUGAUGGACAAUUUGUUAAGACAUGAUGGGUAUAUCCUGUUAAGAGCAAACUUCAUGUGAGUUGAAUUUAUGCUUCUUGAAACUGCCAUGGCUUCUUUGUAAUUUUUUUACUAGAUAUAUCUUUCAUAUAGAGAGGAGAGUAUGCAACUAUAUUCAAGAUUUGUGAAUUGGUAGUGGUAAUGAGGCUGCAAAAAAAAUGGAAUCAUCCUUGCACUAU